rnacentral:lncRNA from 1 species
GAGGAAUGUAUACAGAAGUUCAUCGAAGUUGAUCAGGCAUGGAAAAUUCUAGGGAAUGAAGAGACAAAAAAAGAGUAUGACCUGCAGCGGCAUGAAGAUGAGUUAAGAAAUUUGGGUCCAGUAGAUGCUCAAGUAUAUCUUGAAGAAAUGUCUUGGAACAAAGAUGAUCAUUCUUUUUUUCUGAGUUGCCGAUGUGGUGGAAAAUACAGUGUUUCCAAAGAUGAAGCAGAAGAAGUUAACCUGAUUUCUUGUGAUNN